GCCUGGGUGGCUCAGUCGGUUAAGCGUCCGACUUUGGCUCAGGUCAUGAUCUCGCGGUUUGUGGGUUCGAGCCCCGCGUCAGGCU
rnacentral:tRNA from 1 species